GAAUUUUGGGCAAUGGGCGAAAGCCUGAUGCAGCGACGCCGCGUGGGUGAAGACGGAUUUCGGUCUGUAAAGCCCUUUUCUGUGUGACGAGGUAAGGACGGUAGCACAGGAAGAAGUCUCGGCUAACUACGUGCCAGCAGCCGCGGUAAAACGUAGGAGGCGAGCGUUAUCCGGAGUUACUGGGCGUAAAGCGCGUGCAGGUGGGAAACUCAGUUGGUUAUGAAAGCGCCCGGCUAAACCGGGCGAGGUUGACCAAAACUGGUUUUCUUGAGUGGAGCAGAGGUCAACGGAAUUCCGCGUGUAGUGGUGAAAUGCGUAGAGAUGCGGAAGAACACCAGUGGCGAAGGCGGUUGACUGGGCUCCAACUGACACUCAGACGCGAAAGCAUGGGUAGCGAACGGG
rnacentral:rRNA from 1 species